AACGAACGCUGGCGGCAUGCCUAACACAUGCAAGUCGAACGAGACCUUCGGGUCUAGUGGCGCACGGGUGGCGUAACGCGUGGGAAUCUGCCCUUUGCUUCGGAAUGACAGUUAGAAAUGACUGCUAAUACCGGAUGAUGUCUUCGGACCAAAGAUUUAUCGGCAAAGGAUGAGCCCGCGUAGGAUUAGGUAGUUGGUGGGGUAAAGGCCUACCAAGCCGACGAUCCUUAGCUGGUCUGAGAGGAUGAUCAGCCACACUGGGACUGAGACACGGCCCAGACUCCUACGGAGGCAGCAGUGGGGAAGUA
rnacentral:rRNA from 1 species